UACGGGGGGGGCAAGCGUUGUUCGGAAUUACUGGGCGUAAAGGGUGCGUAGGCGGUUCGUUAAGUCUGUCGUGAAAUCCCCGGGCUCAACCUGGGAAUGGCGAUGGAUACUGGCGAGCUAGAGUGUGUCAGAGGAUGGUGGAAUUCCCGGUGUAGCGGUGAAAUGCGUAGAGAUCGGGAGGAACAUCAGUGGCGAAGGCGGCCAUCUGGGACAACACUGACGCUGAGGCACGAAAGCGUGGGGAGCAAACAGG
rnacentral:rRNA from 1 species